rnacentral:rRNA from 1 species
GAUGAACGCUAGCGGGAGGCCUAACACACGCAAGCCGAGCGGUAGAGAUUCUUCGGAAUCUUGAGAGCGGCGUACGGGUGCGGAACACGUGUGCAACCUACCCUUUAUCUGGAGGAUAGCCUUUCGAAGGAAGAUUAAUACUCCAUAAUAUAUUGAUUGGCAUCGAUUGAUAUUGAAAGCUCCGGCGGAUAGAGAUGGGCACGCGCAAGAUUAGCUAGUUGGUGAGGUAACGGCUCACCAAGGCGAUGAUCUUUAGGGGCCUGAGAGGGUGAUCCCCACACUGGUACUGAGACACGGACCAGACUCCUACGGGAGGCAGCAGUGAGGAAUAUUGGUCAAUGGGUAGCAAGCCUGAACCAGCCAU